rnacentral:rRNA from 1 species
UGAGUUUGAUUCUGGCUCAAAUUGAACCUUAGACGACUGUCUAAUACAUGCAAAUCUAAUGCUAAGCUACUUAUUGAGGAUUUAUGCUUUGGAUUGGAAAAUGUAGUUUUCGAAUUACAUUGAAUAUGAAGGACAUAGGUCUUUGAUAAGCAAUCAGGUUUACGGGUGCGUACAAGAUAAGAACCAACCUUUAGGCGGGGGAAUACCCCAUAAGCUGAGGAGUUAAAGAUGCAAGUCACCUAUUGACGGGCUUAUCUCUGAUUAGCUAGAUGGUGAGGUAAUGGCUUAUUCCAUGGCUUAUCAGUAACUGGUCUGAGAGGAUGAACAGUCACACUGGAACUGAGACACGGUCCAGACAAAUUUACUUUAAUCGGCAGCAGUAAAGAAUCCUCCGCAAUUAGGGCAACCUAGACGGGGCGAGUUCAUUUUUCACAAGAGCUCCUUUUAAAACUUAUUUUAAAAGCAAACUGAGAAAAUUGCAAAAAUUUAUUUUUACGUAAUCUUUAAAACGUAAUAUAAUAUAUAAUUUGCAGCUAGAUUUUAUUUAAAUUUAUUUAAAUAAACAAGUUCAGAGACUAUAUACUCAAGAUUUUUUAAAGCUUUCGAAAUUGUUGUUGGAGCUUGCGUCGUCUUUUUUGGAUAUCCAAAAAACGACCGAAAAAAUUUACAAGUUUAAUUUGUUUUUUGCAAAUUAUAAACUUAAAAUAUAUUUUUUUAUAAAAAAUAAUAACAUAGUCCAUGAAGCAUUUUGAAAAAAAAAGCAUUAUUCAUGCGUCGUGAAGGAACGAAGGUCUGCGGAUUGUAAACUUCUUUUUUCAUAAAGAGUCAACUCUGUACGUCAUUGACGUGUGAAGAAUAAGUACCGGCUAAUUCCCGUGCCAGCAGCCCAAAUGGUAUAAUGUGUUAUAUAAAUUACCAUUAUUUUUUUGUACUGCAUAGAAAGUAAUUUUUCUAUCAAAAUCCAGCUCAAUCUUUAAAUUCUUUAUAUUGAUUUUUUUGAAAAAAUAACUUUAUUCACAAAAACAAACUAUCUUUCCCAUUGUUUUAUAUAAAAAUAAUAAGAAGAAUGAUAGUGGGACCAUGUCCCUAAAAGGGUUUAUAGAAAACUUUAGAUCUAUUUCAUGAUUAUCCUUUAUAAUAAUCAAUCUAAGGAACGGUGAAUCCUAAAGAGUUUUUUAAAGCAAAAAACUCUAAGGAAAUACCGUGGGAAGUUUUAAUAUUGUAGAAACUAAAAUAUUUUUUAAAAAUCUUAAAACCUUAUUAAAACCCUGUAACGACUAAUCCGAAAGGAGAGAACUUCAAAAUGAAGUUAAAACGCUGGCAAGUUCUAAGUUUCAUUUUAAUAUGGUAUAAUUUGAAAAACUCAACCUACGUUAAAAAGAACUUGAAGGUAUAGUCUGACCCAUAUGAAAGUGUGGAUAACUCGAGCGGUUAUACGGAAGGUGCAAAGGUUAAUUGGAAUUAUUGGGUGUAAAGAGUCUUAAGAUGGUCACGUAAGUCUAUAAUAAAAAUUGUAAGCUUAACUUUCAAAUAGUUAUAGAAACUAUGAGACUUGAGUCCGAUAGAGGUAUGGGGAACUCUCAAAGUAGCGGUGAAAUGCACUGAUCUUGAGAAGAACACCGUAAGCGAAAGCGCCAUACUGGGUCGAAACUGACAUUGUAAGACGAAAGCUUGAGGAGCAAAAGGGAUUAGAGACCCCUGUAGUUCAAGCCGUAAAUGAUGGAUACUAGAAAUUGGUGAUAAUAUCAGUUUCUAAGCUAACGCACUAAGUAUCCCACCUGGGGAUUGUACGGUCGCAAGAUUAAAACUUAAAGAAAUAGGCGGGAUCAAAAACAAGCAGUGGAUGAUGUUGUUUAAUUCGAUGCUAAGCGAAGAACCUUACCAAAGAGUGACAUCCUCGCUAUGUCAAGCUGUAAUGGUUUGUACUUAGAGAAGCGAGUGACAGGUAAUGCAUGGUUGUCGAAGCAGUUCGUGCUGUGAGGUGUCAGGUUAGUUCCUGUAACGAACGCAACCCUCAUUCUUAUUAACCUAGUUAUCUUUGAAAAUUGUUCGCAAUAAUUAAAGAUAACUGCGCGAAAGCUUCAAGGUAUAGGAAGACUGCCUACAUUUAAGUGGGAGGAAGGAGAGGAUGAAGUCAAAUCAUCAUGUUCCUAGGGCGUAAAACCUCUAAUCUUUUGGGCUACAAACGUCAUACAAUGGUAACGACAAUAAGAUGCAAGCUAGUAAUAGUGAGCUAAGCUAUAAACGUUAUCUCAGUUCGGAUCGACUGGCUGCAACUCGCCGUCGUGAAGGUGGAAUUGCUAGUAAAGAUUUUGGAUCAGCAUGCCAACUUGAAUCGUUUUAUUUGGUUUACACUUACCGCCCGUCACACCGAGAAAGAUUUGCCAAGCCGAAAUCAAAAGACGUUUUUCUGGCUAAGCUUGGUAAAUUGAUUUUGGUGAAGUCGUAACAAGGUCGCACUAGCUGAAGCUGGGGCG